AGGAACCCAUCUCAACUGCAAUAUCUGUGAAACAUCAUCCUACCCCCAGUAAAAACAGAGGCUUGGACGGUGCUGCUGGAUUGGAGGCCAGAAGCUGCUAUCCAGAGCCAAAAGCAGCCAUGAAAAGAAGUAGUCUGGACAGAAGACAAUUCAAUGGAGAAAGAACAGCCUUUUCAACAAGUGGUGUUGGAACAACUGUAUAUCCCCAUGUAAAGGAAUG